AGGAAAUAUGCAAAAUCAGGUAAAUAUUCUCAUUCUGACAAAACCUCAAAACACUUUGAAACCUUGUUGACUUGAACAUCAGAGUGUUUUCGCAGGUACACCACCUCGCAUUGGCGAAGAACAACCGUCUACCGCCGCAUCAGCUCCGUAACAACAACCCCCUUCCUCCGUCUAUACAAAUCAGUGUAUCCUUUUCAGCUUGCAAAAUAAGUUUGACUACUUAGAAUGUUUGUUUAGACAAGACAACCAUUUCUAAAUUCUAAUGUACAUGCAGAUCUUGGUGGUCUCAUUUCAUAAGCUAAAGUGGUCUAUACAACCAUUUCUAAUGUACAUGCAAUGCAGAUCUUGGUGGUCUCAUAAGCUAAAGUGAUUUAUACAACCAUUUCUAAUGCUCAUGGAUUACAAUAUAGAAGAAAAAAAUAGAUUAUGAAGCUUGCACAGUUACUGAUUUAAUAUGCAAAGAAAAUCUUCUAGACGAUGAAAGCGAGUUCAAUCCAAUUGUCCACCACUGAAGGAAGCAAAAAAAGUUCAACAAUCUAAUGCUUAACACCUGCAUAAAAUGUAGAAGAAAAACACACCUAGAAUAUUAAUAUGUGCAGUUGAAUGUUGAUAUUCAAUGUUAACCAAAAUGAAUGACUAGUAAGUAUAUUGUUGUUAGUUUUCUCACCAUUAUCAUUUUCAUGGUUAAUAUCGUCACCAGGGCCGGCUCCUAUAGCCUAUGCAAGCUAGGCUACAAGACAAGGUCUUCAACUUAAAGGCCUAAAUUUAACCAAAAACAUUAAAUGGAAAUGUUUAAGGGCUUAAAUUUUAAUCAAAUAUGAAAUUAUGAACUUAAUUAUAUCAACAAAUCCCAAAUUUUUAGGGCUUCAAAGUGUUUAAGGGCUCAAAUUCCAACAUAGCUCACCAAGCCUAAGCUUGUGCAAAGGUGAGUGCUAGCUUUUUUUUUUGGGUCAAUUCCACCGUCUACUAGCGGGAGGCUCAAUUGAAGUCAGAGUAAAACCUAGUAUGAACCGACCCAA
rnacentral:lncRNA from 1 species